AGUGAACGCUGGCGGUAGGCCUAACACAUGCAAGUCGAACGGCAGCACAGUAAGAGCUUGCUCUUACGGGUGGCGAGUGGCGGACGGGUGAGGAAUACAUCGGAAUCUACUUUUUCGUGGGGGAUAACGUAGGGAAACUUACGCUAAUACCGCAUACGACCUACGGGUGAAAGCAGGGGAUCUUCGGACCUUGCGCGAUUGAAUGAGCCGAUGUCGGAUUAGCUAGUUGGCGGGGUAAAGGCCCACCAAGGCGACGAUCCGUAGCCGGUCUGAGAGGAUGAUCAGCCACACUGGAGCUGAGACGCGGUCCAGACUCCUGCGGGAGGCAGCAGUGGGGAAUAUUGGACAAUGGGCGGAAGCCUGAUCCAGCCAUACCGCGUGGGUGAAGAAGGCCUUCGGGUUGUAAAGCCCUUUUGUUGGGAAAGAAAAACAGCAGGUUAAUACCCCGCUGUUCUGACGGUACCCAAAGAAUAAGCACCGGCUAACUUCGUG
rnacentral:rRNA from 1 species